ACCUUGGAGAGGUAGAUAUUGAGCAGAGCCAAGGAGAGGAACUGCAGGCAGUCUGCGGAGCAGUAGGGCAGCCAAUGGGGAAAAGGCUUCAGGGGGCCCCCCUGGGCACACUGGCUCAGGUAGUAGGAGUAGAGUACAGUCCUUAUGGCCCCCCAGAACAGGCAUAGGAAGAGCCCCAGACUCUGCAUACUCAGCCUUCUCUGAUUAUAGAAUCGGAGCAGCCAGAGCUGAAGGUAGGUGACCACGAAGAUACAAGCAGAGAGCCCAGUGCACAGCAUGGUAAGUCCCAGCUCCCACUCCCAGGGAAUGGGCCCCUGCAUGCUGCUUACUAACAUGGGCCCCUAAGGAAUACACAGGGCAACGAGAGACAGUUCCAAGACCAUGGAAUUCCAGGGAAGCUUACAGUCAAGGGCCCAGGAAACACCACUCAAAUCCUGCCUCCCAGGGGACAAUCAUCACUCACAGAGUCCCCGCCUCCCAGGGGCCAAUCAGCACUCACAGAGUCCCCGCCUCCUAGGGGACAAUCAACACUCACAGAGCCUCCCACACUCACAGGCCCCCGUCUGUACUUGGACCCAUUCUCAUUCUCACAGGGCCCCGCCUCCCAGGAACCCCACACUCACAGGGCCCCGCCUCCCAGGAACCCCACACUCACAGGGCCCCGCCUCCCAGGAACCCCACACUCACAGGGCCCCGCCUCCCAGGAACCCCACACUCACAGGGCCCCGCCUCCCAGGAACCCACACUCACAGAGAUCCGCCUCCCAGGAACCCGCUAUCACAGAGCCCCCCCUCCCAGGAACCCGCUAUCACAGAGACCCACCUCCCAGGAACCCGCUAUCACAGAGCCCCGCCCCCCAGGAAC